rnacentral:rRNA from 1 species
AUGCGUAGGAAUCUACCUAGUAGUAUGGAAUAGCCAUUAGAAAUGAUGGGUAAUACUGUAUAAUCCCUGCGGGGGAAAGAUUUAUCGCUAUUAGAUGAGCCUACGUUAGAUUAGCUAGUUGGUAAGGUAAUGGCUUACCAAGGCUAUGAUCUAUAGCUGGUCUGAGAGGACGAUCAGCCACACUGGAACUGAGAUACGGUCCAGACUCCUACGGGAGGCAGCAGUGGGGAAUAUUGGACAAUGGGCGAAAGCCUGAUCCAGCUAUGCCGCGUGAGUGAAGAAGGCCUUCGGGUUGUAAAACUCUUUCAAUAGGGAAGAUAAUGACGGUACCUAUAA